GCCCUCGUAGCUCAGACGGAUAGAGCGACGCACUCCUAACGCGUAGGCCGCAGGUUCAACUCCUGCCGAGGGCA
rnacentral:tRNA from 1 species